AUUGAACGCUGGCGGCAGGCCUAACACAUGCAAGUCGAGCGGAGCGGCGGACGGGUGAGUAAUGGCUAGAAAUCUGCCUGGUAGUAGGGGAUAACGACAGGAAACGGGCGCUAAUACUGCAUCCUAUCAGAUGAGCCUAGGUCGUAUUAGCUAGUUGUUGGUGUAAAGGCCUACCAAGGCGACGAGCCGUAACGUGUCUGAGAGGAUGAUCAGUAACACUGGAACUGAGACACGGUCCAGACUCCUACGUGAGGCAGCAGUGGGGAAGAUUGGACAAUGGGCGGAAGCCUGAUCCAGCCAUGCCGCGUGUGUGAAGAAGGUCUUCGGAUUGUAAAGCACUUUAAGUUGGGAGGCGGUACCAACAGAAUAAGCACCGGCUAACUUCGUGCCAGCAGCCGCGGUAAUUC
rnacentral:rRNA from 1 species